GCAGGGGGCUCUGGGCUGGGCCAAGGUCCUGGCUGCUGCCCGGACCUGAGCCCGACGCCCCGGGAGCUGCUGUGUCCCCACACGCGCAGCAGGUGGCGACAGAGACCAGAGAUGCUCCGGGUCCCCAGUGUUCAAAAUUUAAAGUGGAAUUCAGAUACCAUUCAGCUGCCCAGUGCACGGAAGACAAUUCAGCAGCAAACAUCACCUCCAAGAUGCCCAGAAAUCCUCAUCCUCAGAGGGGUCCCUGGCCCUGGCCUCUGUCUGUCCCCCUGCCUGGCCCUGAGAACCUUCAUUCUGUCUCUGGAUUCCCCUCCCCAACUUCCUGUCUGUCUCUGGAUUCCCCUGCCCCACUUCCUGUCUCUGGAAUCCCCUGCCCCACUUCCUGUCUCUGGAUUCCCCACCCCCACUUCCUGUCUCUGGAUUCCCCUGCCCCACUUCCUGUGUCUGGAUUCCCCUGCCAAAUGCAAGGUCCUGAGUUCGAUCUCCGGUACUCAAAAAAAAAACAAACAGUUGAAGUUCCUUCAAUUGCCUUGUAAUUAAAGUUUAGUGAAAAUGUUCUUUUUGAAAUGAUAAAUUAAAAACAGAAAUAGUGUGGGGCUGGCCUUGGACACCCUGCACAUCCUUCCUAA